CACGUAGGGCGCAAGCGUUGUCCGGAAUUAUUGGGCGUAAAGAGCUCGUAGGCGGUUUGUCGCGUCGGCUGUGAAAACCUGAGGCUCAACCUCAGGCCUGCAGUCGAUACGGGCGGACUUGAGUACUGCAGGGGAGACUGGAAUUCCUGGUGUAGCGGUGAAAUGCGCAGAUAUCAGGAGGAACACCGGUGGCGAAGGCGGGUCUCUGGGCAGUAACUGACGCUGAGGAGCGAAAGCGUGGGGAGCGAACAGG
rnacentral:rRNA from 1 species